rnacentral:rRNA from 1 species
GUGAAAUUCCGUCGGAAUCUGGGAGGACCAUCUCCUAAGGCUAAAUACUCUCUAGUGACCGAUAGUGAACCAGUACCGUGAGGGAAAGGUGAAAAGCACCCCGGAAGGGGAGUGAAAUAGAACCUGAAACCGUGUGCUUACAAGUAGUCAGAGCCCGUUAAUGGGUGAUGGCGUGCCUUUUGUAGAAUGAACCGGCGAGUUACGAUUUGAUGCAAGGUUAAGCAGUAAAUGUGGAGCCGUAGCGAAAGCGAGUCUGAAUAGGGCGUUUAGUAUUUGGUCGUAGACCCGAAACCAGGUGAUCUACCCUUGGUCAGGUUGAAGUUCAGGUA